rnacentral:rRNA from 1 species
UACGAAGGGGGCUAGCGUUGCUCGGAAUUACUGGGCGUAAAGGGCGCGUAGGCGGCACUGUUAGUCAGGCGUGAAAGUCCUGGGCUCAACCUGGGAACUGCGCUUGAUACGGCAGAGCUAGAGGAUGGAAGAGGGUCGCGGAAUUCCCAGUGUAGAGGUGAAAUUCGUAGAUAUUAGGAAGAACACCAGUGGCGAAGGCGGCUCACUGGUCCGGUACUGACGCUGAGGUGCGAAAGCGUGGGGAGCAAACAGG